rnacentral:rRNA from 1 species
GGCCAGACUCCUACGGGAGGCAGCAGUGGGGAAUAUUGCACAAUGGGGGAAACCCUGAUGCAGCGACGCCGCGUGAGCGAAGAAGUACCUCGGUAUGUAAAGCUCUAUCAGCAGGGAAGAAAGUGACAGUACCUGACUAAGAAGCCCCGGCUAACUACGUGCCAGCAGCCGCGGUAAUACGUAGGGGGCAAGCGUUAUCCGGAUUUACUGGGUGUAAAGGGAGCGUAGACGGCAAUGCAAGCCAGAUGUGAAAGCCCGGGGCUCAACCCCGGGACUGCAUUUGGAACUGUGUAGCUGGAGUGUCGGAGAGGCAGGCGGAAUUCCUAGUGUAGCGGUGAAAUGCGUAGAUAUUAGGAGGAACACCAGUGGCGAAGGCGGCCUGCUGGACGAUGACUGACGUUGAGGCUCGAAAGCGUGGGGAGCAAACAGGAUUAGAUACCCGCGUA